rnacentral:rRNA from 1 species
CCCUUAGAUGUCCUGGGCCGCACGCGCGCUACACUGAGUGUCUGAGAUACGAGUCUGCCUGGUCCGGCAAGGUCUAGGUAAUCGCUAAAAGACACAUCAUGCUUGGGAUAGAUUAUUGCAAAUAUUAAUCUUGAACGAGGAAUUCCUAGUAAGCGCAAGUCAACAGCUUGCGUUGAUUACGUCCCUGCCCUUUGUACACACCGCCCGUCGCUACUACUGAUUGGAUGUUUAAGCUAGGUUCUCGAACUGCUAGCGACUUAGCUUCGGUGAGGUCGCAGUGUGGGAAGUGAACCUAGCUUUGGUGUCUAGAGGAAGUAAAAGUCGUAACA